rnacentral:rRNA from 1 species
UACGGGGGGGGCAAGCGUUGUUCGGAAUUACUGGGCGUAAAGGGCUCGUAGGCGGCCAACUAAGUCAGACGUGAAAUCCCUCGGCUUAACCGGGGAACUGCGUCUGAUACUGGAUGGCUAGAGUGUGGGAGAGGGAUGCGGAAUUCCAGGUGUAGCGGUGAAAUGCGUAGAUAUCGUAAGGAAGACCAGUGGCGAAGGCGGGUCUCUGGACAGUUCCUGACGCUGAGGCACGAAGGCCAGGGGAGCAAACGGG